rnacentral:rRNA from 1 species
AGUGAACGCUGGCGGUAGGCCUAACACAUGCAAGUCGAACGGCAGCACAGUAAGAGCUUGCUCUUACGGGUGGCGAGUGGCGGACGGGUGAGGAAUACAUCGGAAUCUACUUUUUCGUGGGGGAUAACGUAGGGAAACUUACGCUAAUACCGUAUACGACCUACGGGUGAAAGCAGGGGAUCUUCGGACCUUGCGCGAUUGAAUGAGCCGAUGUCGGAUUAGCUAGUUGGCGGGGUAAAGGCCCACCAAGGCGACGAUCCGUAGCUGGUCUGAGAGGAUGAUCAGCCACACUGGAACUGAGACACGGUCCAGACUCCUACGGGAGGCAGCAGUGGGGAAUAUUGGACAAUGGGCGCAAGCCUGAUCCAGCCAUACUGCGUGGGUGAAGAAGGCCUUCGGGUUGUAAAGCCCUUUUGUUGGGAAAGAAAAGCAGCAGGUUAAUACCCCGCUGUUCUGACGGUACCCAAAGAAUAAGCACCGGCUAACUUCGUG